UACGUAGGCGGCGAGCGUUAUCCGGAAUGAUUGGGCGUAAAGGGUGCGUAGGUGGUUUCUUAAGUCAGAGGUGAAAGGCUACGGCUCAACCGUAGUAAGCCUUUGAAACUGGGGAACUUGAGUGCAGGAGAGGAGAGUGGAAUUCCUAGUGUAGCGGUGAAAUGCGUAGAUACUAGGAGGAACACCAGUUGCGAAGGCGGCUCUCUGGACUGUAACUGACACUGAGGCACGAAAGCGUGGGGAGCAAACAGG
rnacentral:rRNA from 1 species